CCAAGCUCUGACCCGUCUCCUCGCCCUUUUUUGAGGUUUCUGAGGCAAACCCCCAGCCCUGUCACACCUGAAGAGCAGCACAGAGGCCCCUCAGACAGAUCUGAGCCGUUCUGUGUCGUGGAGAGUCUGAUCCUCAAAAUUAUUCAUUAAAAAUACCCACUUAAUAAUUUCAAAGAGAAAGCUGAAAGAUGCUCAGGGGCAAUCUGUGAACAGGAAAAGGGGGUUAAAUUCACCUAAUAAAUUAUUUGCAGACUGAAUAAUUCAUGGGAAAUCCAGGGUGCAUUUAGAGGGGUUUGAUGGGGGCUGUCAGCUCCUCUGGAGUGGGAAGACACCUCAGAACCUGGCAUUUUCUCAGGCACCAUCUCAGUACAGCAGAAUUUCCACCUGGAACCAGAUGUGUGGGUGGAGUUUUCUGUCCCUGACCCCAGCCAGUGCCUGGUGGUAGAGGAAAAGCCAUAAAAAAAUCUCAGACCUGCUUUAUCCUGUCCCUAUCCGACUGGAGGCUCCUGGCAGUGGGCAGAAAUGGGAAUUCAGGGUUUGGGACAGCCAGGACAACCUGGAGCCACAUCCACGUGCUGGAACUUUGCAGAGUGAGCAGAGUGAAGUGAAGCAGAGGUGGGACUGAGUGUGAGGCUGCAGCUGUGGAUCAGUUACUGGUCAGGGAUUGCUGUGCCACAGACAGGCUCCAAAUUAUCAGACAGAAAUGUAAAUGAAGAUCUGAGACCUUGCUGGGUCUGUAAACACUGGGCUUCGUCUCGUGGCAAAGGGUUAAACCCAGCACUAGCACUGGGUUUAUUUUAACUUGGGAUAAAGUUUCCAAGAGGUCCAUGAAAAUAAGCUGAGGUUGGUCCAAAUGCAAUGGAAAACCUGGAAUUUUAGUACAUGAAGCAGGUGACGAAAGCAGCACAUGAAACUUUGUAAACAGAGGUGUUAAAACAAAUUUAAUAAUAGACUUUUUAAACUCCCAGAUCACUGUCAGAGUAUAUAUGUGUUAAAAGACCUAUAAAUAUAUUUUAAAACAAUCUAUUUUCCUUUCACUUAGCUGCCAAGAUCUCCAUUAGGAGGUUUGUGUUUCCUUCCAACAUUAAAGAAUCUCUCUAACAUCUGUAGCGAUGAGCAGUGAAGAGUGUCAGCUCUGCUUCUGAAACAAGCAGUGCCACCAUCUGAAGGAGGAAAAUGUGAAAUAAUGAAUAUGCUUCUGCAGAUCAGGCUGCUGUGUGCACCAGGAGAGGUGCAAAGCCUCGUGCCAGGUUUGAUCUCCCCAGUUUCUCCUCUCCACCUCCAAGGAGUGCAGUUAAUGAUGCAAAACUUGGAGAAAGUAUUGCCCAGAGGUGCUGAACCCUGGCACAAAGAGCCACAGAGCACUGCAAGGGCUGGGCUGGGGGUUCCUCUCCUCCCAAGGACUGAGCUUUUUUUUCUUGGUAUAACCAGGACAACCUGGCAGCCAUAUCCACAUAUUUGAACUUGAUAACUUGAGCAGAUUAACUUUAAAGUUAAGCAGAUGUGGGACCAAGUGUGAGAGUGCAGGUGUGGAUCAUUUACUGAUGAUCAUUUAUUGAUCCAGGUAUGGAUCAUUUACUGAUGAUCAUUUAUUGGUCCAGGUGUGGAUCAUUUACUCAUAUAUUCCCUUCAAGGACUUUGCUGGUGUUCCCUUCCUUCCAGGAGUCAGGAACAGAAAGGGAUCCCAGCACAACACGAGCUAAUCCCAGCUUCACUGGAGCAGCCAUGACUCUAAAAAUUAUCUGCUUUUUUUCCAUGAAGGCUCCCAGGACAGCAGCGUUGGACGGAGGUUGAGGAGCUGCCCUGAACUGGAGAGCUUCAUACCCAAAUGCACAGGCACCACGGGCACAGGUCAGGGAUGGAGGACAAUUCAGCUUUGCAGCUCAGAAGGUUGACACCCAGUUCUGCUCCCAGACCUGCCACUGACUCAGCCCACGGCCUCGAUUCUUGCAAUGAUGUGAUUUCCCAAUCUGUGAGCCAAGCCCUGCUGUGCCCUCAGACUGUGGGGUGAGCAGCACCUUCCCAGCCACCAAUCUGCCCAGUGCUGCUGCUCUUGUAACCAUUCUUGCAGGGAUUUUGGAGGCAACUCUUUUCAAGUGGCUUUUUUUGUCACCACGGCAGGGAAAGAGGAAGCAGAGAUUGACAAUGUGCAGACGAGGCAAAAUCUGCAUGAUGUGAUUUAAUACAGGAAAGGACUUGAAUUUCCCCAUUUCUGCAGAGAACAAUAAGCAGCAGCAGGAGCUUUCCACUCGUGCUCUCAGAAGAAGCACAAGGACAUCCCUGCAGACUACAGGGCAAAGAAUGGUGAGGAAAAGGUAAAGCUGAGGGUUGUUCCGGGGCCAAAGUGUCACACCUCGGGUCCCUGGGAUGGCUGAGGAUGGGGAAGGAGGGAAAUGGGGCUGGGGGCUGCACAGCCUGCAGGAGCAGGAGGUGCUCAGCUCCCACGAGGAGGGGAGAGCCUUGCCCGAGCGCCUCCAUCACUAAUCUGAAAUUUGUCUGCCUUCUGCAUUUGAUCUCCUCAUUUUCCUCUUCUGUGCCUUUUUAAUGCUGUUUGUAGCCAUUUCAAUUAUGUGAUUUCCUUAUCUGUGUACCAUGGAGAAUACUGUACAAGGCUUUAUAAACAGCUCCUAAGUUUAUCUGCCUGUCAUUUGCUUUUCAUUAUGCGAGAUAACAAUCUUCCUCAUAUCUUAUAAGAAGAUAGAAUGUGAUUGUUUUGAAAUGGGGAGGGGGAAAAGAGUCUGCUCUGCAUUAUCCUCAGCCCCAUAGCAUUUGUAACGUCACCAGUGUCAGCACAAUCUCCAACAUUUUUCCUUGCUGUGGUCCAGGAAGAAUUAUCUCCGUAGUUUCUUGUGCUUGCUGCUAUCUCCUCUUUUUCUCCAUUUUAGACACAGAGGUUCUUAUCUGGAGCGUGGUUCUGCAGCUACAGAUUUGCCUAAAUUCAGUGAGAUCUCUCCAAACCCUUUGGAGGAGCUCGUGCACCGAGGGGAAGGGUGAGAGGCAAUUGUCAGCAGCUGGCUGGAUUAAAUAUGGACAGAUAUUAUUCAUGUCAUUUGACAGUUCCUGACUCUCAGCUGUAUAAUGACAGAGCAACAGUAGGAAUUCCAGCAGCCCAGCUUCUGUCUUACUUCAAGAUAAGCUUAUCAACCGUAGCCUGAAUCCAUUCAGCUCCUCAGCAGAUCAGAGCUCGUGUCAGGCUGAGCCGAUUCCUGCUUCCUGCCCUGCUCUGCACGUCCCUGUGGGCUGGGCUCUGCCAGCUCACAGCUGCCUUGCAGGGCUUUCAGCAGACAGACUGUGCCCUGUGUGUGCUCUGCCCCUUGUCCAGGGCAGCCCUGGAUGCCCCUGGUGCCCCCGAGUGCCCCUGGAGCAGAGCAGGGCAGGAGGGACCAGGGGUGCCAGCCCUGCUGGGCUUUGCUCUCCUCUGCAGCUCCUUGAGCUGCAAAGAGCAGCUGCCUUGUUUGGCUUCUAAAGGUGCAAACUUCAUCCUGAGGAUUUUCCCGUGCUGUCCACGCCAGAGAUUCAGAGGGAUCUCGGAACAAUGCAGGAAUCACAGCUGUCACUGCACACUCCGUGGUGCAGGGUUAAGAAUUGACCAAGAGUCUGGAAUUUCCCUUGUGUGCCCUCCAGAUUACAGCACCAACUUGUGGGGUUUGGUGUCAGGGAGAAUCGUGGGUUCAGAGAACUUCUGGCAGGAGCAUUUAAGCUUCAUCUCCGACUCGCAUUGGGAAAUUAGGGGCUAAUUAAGUCCCCAGGGGCAGUACUCAGGUGAAAGACUGCUGGGUCCCUCCCGAAAUUCCCUUCUGCACAGCAAAGCCCGAAUGCUGGCACACGACAGGACACAAACGCUCCCGUGCCAUGGCUCCCGGACGAUUUUAGUCAGAAAAGUUAUCUUCCAUCAAAAAAAAGAACUGAGGGGAUGCUUUCACUCGCCAGCUUGGGAAGCACGUGGAUGCUGGGAUGCCAGCAGGAGGGCAGGACCUUCCAGUGGCUUCCACAUGUCUCAGGAUUUUCUGAAGACCCCAGGGAGCAGAACUCCAUUAGCUGAAGUCACCUUUCUGUCACACGAGCCAGGUAGCAGCCAGGCAGGAGACACAAAGGACCUCUGGAAUUUAAACUUCUCUGCUGCUCUGCUCAACACAGCCGAGCAAGAAUUCAUGCUGGCACCGAAGUUCUCCCAGCUAGGCUGUGCUAUUUAAAACGGGAUUUCAUCCUAAUGAGCCUAAAAUAAACCAGUGUGUGGAAGGAGAUUUCAAAGUACCCUCAGUGGGCUCGGGGGGCUCGGGAGAAGGAGGAAAAGCACCAAAGGCAGCCGGAGAGCACCCUCUCCUGGACACGGAGCC